GUAGGUGGCAAGCGUUGUCCGGAAUUAUUGGGCGUAAAGCGCGCGCAGGUGGUUCUUUAAGUCUGAUGUGAAAGCCCCCGGCUCAACCGGGGAGGGUCAUUGGAAACUGGGGAACUUGAGUGCAGGAGAGGAAAGUGGAAUUCCACGUGUAGCGGUGAAAUGCGUAGAUAUGUGGAGGAACACCAGUGGCGAAGGCGACUUUCUGGCCUGUAACUGACACUGAGGCGCGAAAGCGUGGGGAGCAAACAGGGAUUAGAUACCCUGGUAGUCCACGCCGUAAACGAUGAGUGCUAAGUGUUGGGGGGGUUUCCCGCCCCUCAGUGCUGCAGCUAACGCAUCAAGCACUCCGCCUGGGAGUACGGUCGCAAGACUG
rnacentral:rRNA from 1 species